rnacentral:rRNA from 1 species
UCCACGCCGUAAACGAUGAUCACUAGUUGUUGGCGAUAAAAUGUCAGUGACUGAGCGAAAGCAUUAAGUGAUCCACCUGGGGAGUACGUUCGCAAGAAUGAAACUCAAAGGAAUUGACGGGGGCCCGCACAAGCGGAGGAACAUGUGGUUUAAUUCGAUGAUACGCGAGGAACCUUACCCGGGCUUAAAUGCAGACUGACAGGUUGGGAAACCGACUUUUCUUCGGACAGUCUACAAGGUGCUGCAUGGUUGUCGUCAGCUCGUGCCGUGAGGUGUCGGGUUAAGUCCCAUAACGAGCGCAACCCCUAUCAUUAGUUGCCAACAGGUCAAGCUGGGGACUCUAAUGAGACUGCCAUCGUAAGAUGCGAGGAAG